AACCCCGAGUAGCAGCAGUAAAUGCAGGGACAGGUUCCAGGCCGGAACAGAGGAAGCAGGGGUACUGAGAGAAAUAAUUCCAAUGUACACAACCUCCUACGGACAGGCUGCCCCUCUGCCCCUUGGGAGGGUUGACUGCGGGGAAGUCAGGAUUUUACGGAGUCCAGAAAGGCACGCACAUACACCUGUACAAGUACCCAUGCAGGCACUGGUUUAUAUUUUCUCUUCAGUUUUCUUAGAUUCUCAGAGCAACAUGGCAAAAAGCAACGGGUCCUCCAGGGGCUCCCCUGGGUAACUGCCAGGGCAAGGGCAGAGGCUUGUAGGUCUCUGGGUGCCAAGAAGAACAGCAGAGGACUACAAAAGUCCACCUAGAUAGGUCGCAGGCAAAGGGGUCUACGUGAAGUUUCCACCCAGCAACAGGGUCUGCAUGGAAAGCCUCUGAAGGCUGAGAAGGGCACCCACUCCUUCCAAAGGGCGUGCCCGCCUGAUAGGCAGGCAGCAUGAAAUGACCACCGACAAGACAGAGAACAGGGGACUUCCUCUCCUGGGAGGGACUUCCAUGACUCUGUAGCCCUUGGCCUCUCCCACUACAGGGACCAGAAGACUGAAGGUUACUCUCUCAUACAAACCUCCACCCACGAGGAAAUGGACGAGAAAGAAAUCUCUCUGUGUCAAUGGUCAGUCUAUUAGGAUGCUUCAGGGCAGUGAGGACCUGAUAGGAGCCUUCUCAGCCCCUGGCUCCGGCUCUGCUCUGAGCCCCAAACACAGAAACAGAUGUCGAGAAUAGAAUGUGCAAUGUUCCCUGCAAUGCAAGAGCCGAAUGCCGGGCACCCAAGGAUGAAGGGGCCAGGCAGAGCCAGGAAGACUUCCAGAGGUAUCCGCCGAUUGAAACAUCACUUCUGUCUUCCCUCUCAGCCUGUGCUGUCCGAUACGGCAGCGACUAGCCAAGUGUGACUACAGAGAACCUGGGGUGUGCAAACGUGGAACUGGCAUGCUCACACUGUAUUUUGAAGUUAAAGAAAUCUUUCAAGUCUCUUUAACUGUUUUAAUGGUGAUUGUAUGUUGAAAUGAUCAAUUUUUAAAUUAAAUUAAUUCCACCAAAUAUGAAAAAGAUCAAGUCUCUACCCCCAAAUUCAUACAGGACGCCAUAACCACCAGUAAUGGGACCUUGAGGAAGCAGUAACAGUUGGGCUGGACCAUGAGGGUGGAACCCUCACUGUAGGACUACAACUCUUAGGGCAGACCCGACCAUCCCAGCACCCCAGCCUGGAUUCUAGAACCAAGUGAGAACGAGCACUGUUGACUUUUAAUUAUAUAUGUCAGCAUAUAUAUCUAUAUCUACAUGGCUGUUUUAACUUUAUUAUGAGUUACAUCUGUAGUUAUGUCUGUGCACCAUGUGUACGCCUGGUGCUCUCAGAGGCCAGAGAGCAUGGGUCCCUGAUGGAAGAGGGGUCCCAGAUGGUUGUCAUGAGUCACCAUGUGGGUGUCAGGACUCUGCAAUAGCAGCAAGCACCCUUAGCCACCCGGCUGGCUACCUCUCCGGCCCCAAUACUGCUGCUUGAAUCACAGAGUCCUGUGGUAUUAGGGAAGCCAGAACACACUAAGACACAACUAUUUCUCCUUCCUUUUACUAAUGCGACUACUGGGAAUUUUUAACUUAAAUGUACCUGUCCAUGUCCCUAGGCCCCUGCAAGCAGCACAAGUAUAGUGCUCUUUAUACCACAGGGUUGGUCAUUCUGAAGGCAGAGCCAGGAACACGAAGGAGAGACCGUUUUGAAGCCAGGAGGGCCAGUUCUGCCCCACCAGGACCUGGGGAAGCUCUCCUCUAAUUCCUCAAAAGACAGAGCAGUGGCCACUUUGAAGUGUGACAACAACAGGUGACUCUACCUUCCCCGAGGGAGGAGGCCAGGUUCUGACACAGAACAAAUGCCUCUCGGCAUUCUGCUACACACUCACUCGCCAAACAGUGCAAACAGAAAGUAGACACAGCGCAUGGGACCACCUCUCACCCUGCCCCAAGAUGGGAGGUAACUGAUGAACUCAAACUGGGACUAACUGGUGUCGUGAUGUCCAGAUUCCGAGUCUGAGGCGCACUGUCCUGAGAGCACCCUUUCUACAGGCCUGGACUUGAAAGGGACAAGGCAGAUCGGGAGUAGAAACCCGGGCGAUCAAGAAGCAGCUAGGGGGUUGCUAUGUACCCUUGGAUCAGUCCACAGCUGCCCUCCCCAAAGCAGGCAAUGUUUUCCAUCACUUCCAAGCCUCCAUUCUUGGGGAAAUCCAGAAGAGCAACACUUCAGUGAAUGGCAGAAAGAAACAAUGUUCAACUUGAGACACCGCUUGCUACGCCUCAAUCACUCCAGCACAGCAUCGAAACCGCUUCCCAACAGUGUGCUCCGGUAGCCAAGAAGUGGUCUCUAGCCUGUGGCUCGUGCACUCACGCUCCACCGCACCCAGAUUCGUGCAAAAACUCUCAGGGUCGGAAUUAAUUGCUAAGCCUCCCUUCCUUGCAAUAGAAGGGAGCAGAUUGAGGGUGGGGAUCCCAGUGGGGAGUGCAAUGGCCAUCUGGGAUACCCACCCCCGCAACAGCAUGGGGGAUCCCAGCCCCUCCCCUGCACUCCGGGCCCCGCCCCUCGCGGAUUUCCCAGACUCUGCGCUGCUGCCACCUCGGGCGGCAGGGGACCCGAGCUGCAUGUGUAAUGGGGGUUGGGAACAAAGACGCGCAGGACCCAAAGCCCCGGCCACCGAGCACCAGCCGUCCCAGUCACCACUUUCUUUUCUCUGGAGUCUCAAUGCCCGACUGUCCGCGUUUCCCAGGACUGCCCCAAGCCCGUCCGGGAGCUCCUACCAGAGUUGGGCAUACUUCAGCACCACCGGGACAGAGAAAUCCGUGCCUGAGCUUUAGAGGCGAAAGCGCUUUCCCAGCACAACUUCGCGCGCGCACACCCACACGUCCCGUUCCCAAGCAGACGCGCACCAGUCACCCUCAUCCCGCAGCCGCCUGCGGGCUGAGCGCGGGUCACUCACGCCCGCCACGUGCCGGCCGGAGCAACCUGAGACCUGUUGGUUCGCCUCCUCAACCUCCUCUCCACUCCCAGUAGCCCAAAACAAAAGUGGUCCCACGAGGGCGCAUCUGUAGCCCGCUGCAAGGAAAGCGGGUGCAGAUGUAUGACCGCUUUUCCUGCCUGUAUGUCUGUGCAUCACAUGGAGUAUGGAAGAGGCCAGAAGAGCCCAUCAGAUCUCCUGGGGCUGGCUAUGGAUGCUAGGGAUCGAACCCAGGUCCUCUAGAAGAACAGCCAGUGUAAUCUGAACCAUCUCUCUGGCACCCCGACCCCCUCAGUUGAUUGUUUUAUGUUCUAGGAAAGCCUUUUUGAUGCUGGGUGAGUGAUAUAAAAAUCCCAGACCACUGCUAGAACACUUCUAAAUUACAAGGUGGACUCUUUUUUUUUUUUUUUAAGAUU